rnacentral:rRNA from 1 species
AUUUCCUACGGGGGGCAGCAGUGAGGAAUAUUGGUCAAUGGACGCAAGUCUGAACCAGCCAUGCCGCGUGCAGGAAGAAGGUGCUAUGCAUUGUAAACCGCUUUUAUACGGGGGUAAUUACAGAUACGUGUAUCUGGAUGAAAGUACCGUAUGAAUAAGGAUCGGCUAACUCCGUGCCAGCAGCCGCGGUAAUACGGAGGAUCCGAGCGUUAUCCGGAUUUAUUGGGUUUAAAGGGAGCGUAGAUGGGUUGUUAAGUCAGUUGUGAAAGUUUGCGGCUCAACCGUAAAAUUGCAAUUGAUACUGG